rnacentral:tRNA from 1 species
AAAACUUUAAGUUAAAAAAACUUUAAACCUUCAAAGUUUAAAAUAAAAGUACCAAUCUUUCAAGUUUUA